GCCUUCGCUGCUCCGCCGCGGCUCUCAGCGCCGCUCAGCGCGGCGGGCCCGCCCGGGCUCAGGUGCCCCCCGCUCUCCGGACCUUCUCGCCCGGCCCCGCGUCCCCUCCGCGGGCUUCCCCCGGCGGCCGGCCGGGCUCGGAGGCUCGCGGCCGGAGCGGAGCGGAGUGCGCACGCCGGGGUGGCAGGACUUCGGCAAGACCAACUUUCCGGUUCGGAAGCGGCGCGGGCCGCGCGGCUCCUCCCCUCCUCUCCCUCCCCUGCGUUCCCCCUCCCUUCCACUCCCCCCUCUCCCCGCCCCCCAACCCGCGGGCCCCACCGACUCCGGAGCGCCCGCCCCGCCCGCUGCUGCCACCGGGCCGCCUCGCCCCCGCGCCAGCCCGCCUGGGCCUCUGCGCCGCCGGCGGCUUCUUAAAUACAGGAAAGGGAGGGGACCGCAGGGCCCCGGUGUUCCCCACCCUAGUCCCCCUUCACCACGGGCCACCGGGCGCCAGCGGAGUGGGCAGCGAGCGCGACCGAAAGUUCCAACUCCACCAAACUCCCGCGCGCGGCCCACCCUUUCCCGGGAUUUCGGGGAUGACACGGGGGCCAGGUGAGGGGGCUGCGCACUUCUGGAUCGGCCCCACACACUCGGCCCCUGGCGCGGCGCGCUCCCCGCACACGCGCCCGCCCCCUCCCCGCGGUCACACGCACGCGCCCUCGCCCUCGCCCCGCGCGCACAGGCGCGUACUCCCACCCGCGGCCGUGCACCCGCCGCGCUCCUUCCCGCGCGUGUCCUCUCUCCCCGAGCGGCCGCCAGGAUGUGCCCCCGGCCCCGUCGUCGCCGCGCCCGCGCCCCUCGCCCCAGUACGUCUUUUUUCGUUUCCUAAAUUUCUUAUUUUUGUCCUUGCAAGUGGUCCUGUCUGGUGUGAACCGUCAGCACAGAUGGCCUCCUGGAGCUUCCCCGAGUCGUUCGCUGGGGGAAGCGGGCGGUGAGCGGCCAGCCCGGGCGCUCCGCAGGCCGCGAGCUCCCGGCAGGGCUGGUGGCGGGGGUCCGCCUGGGGGAGGAAUCCCCGCCUGCUCCAUCGGACCCGGCCUGGCGCGGCUCGCGGCGCUCGGCGGGCUCCCUUCCAUUCUAGAAUCUUCCCGCUUGCUUCCCAGCCCGCGUUCUUCCGCCUGCCUUUAAUUGUGUGUGGACGUGGGGAGGAUCUUCUAAGUCCCUCCAACGAAGGCAAGUGUGAGACUCUGGCCCUUUAUUUGUAAGAAGCAAGCCUUCAGAUUGCAGAAGUGUCGCGCGGGUCGCCGUGCGUUGCGCGAGUGGGAAGAUGGAGGAGGCCGGCACGCUGCUUUCGUGGACGCAAGUGAACCGGGCGUGAAGGCAGGGUGCGAGCUCUGCCCUUGGCCCAGCCCUGCGUGGGCGCCGUCCCAGAUUCCGGGCGGUGCGGGGUGCAGAGAUCUGGAGAGACUUGCGGGCUCCCCAGCGCAGGCUGCUCUGGGAUUUCGUUGGAAGAUCCGGCAGAGCCUUGGAGGAGAGGGCCCGGGAGGCUGUGUGUGCAGCGGAAACUUGUACGAAUGCCCCCACAGCGGAAAUGGUGCGCACGAGUAAUUUCUGCGGUGCACCCUUUUAAAAAUUGACAAGUGAACAAGAUCAAUUUUUUAAGAAAGCAAAGGUAGAAAACAAAAGGCGUGCGACUUCUUGACUGGCUUGUUCCCGCCUUUCUUCCUUCUCUAUACUCAGAUCAGAAACUUUUCUUUAAUUGCUCUUAUUCAGUGCGACAACUUUUAAUAAAAGCAUUUGCAUUUUAAGCCUGAGUUGCAACCAUAGAUUUAUUGCGAAGUGACAACGUGUCUAUGGAAUAUUUUCGCAGAUGAGACAGGACAUGCGCUCUAGUCGUGCCCAGAUUAAAGCGACGCUGGGCCAUGUGCCUGUGUAGUGCAGACUCGGAGGGGCACACACAUACUCGUCACCACAUGACCACUGUCUAUUAAUAUUGUCAUACCUAAACACUCGCAAAAACAAAAGUUGCUUUUCUUCCCUGUAAUUAAAUCUAAUUUG
rnacentral:lncRNA from 1 species